rnacentral:piRNA from 1 species
UCUCUGGUGAGAUUGAAUGACUGGUGAAU